CCUUACAAGCCUGGCAGUACAAAUAGCAGAAGAGGCCUUGGCUCUGUGCAAGCCCUGUCCAGCAACAACAAAAACACCUCUGUAUUAUCACCCUUGUGUUCAGCACAAAUCCAAAACAUAGCCCCAUACCAGCCACUGUGAAAAAAAUUAGCUCUACCCCAGCGAAAACCAGGACAUAGGGACACAGCCUAUAUUCAUCACCAGUAUAAGAGGAGUAUGCUGAGAAAAGGCAACCAUAAAGACCAAGCAAUGGGAAUUCAGCAGUGCUUCUCCUCACUGACUUCCUGGCUGUGGUGGGAGUCCUGCCUGGGCAGGACUGGUCUGCACACCUAAUGGGCAAGACAGAGUGGUUUGAGCAAAUGUGGGAAUUCAGAGUUGUAUCAGCCACCAGAAGAUAUAAAAAGAAUUCAAGUCUAGUCCACCUCAGA